rnacentral:rRNA from 1 species
CUACGGGUUGCUCCGGUGAGGAAUAUUGCACAAUGGGGGGAACCCUGAUGCAGCAACGCCGCGUGGAGGAUGACGCAUUUCGGUGUGUAAACUCCUUUUAUAUGUCAAGAAAAUGACGGUAGCAUAUGAAUAAGCACCGGCUAACUCCGUGCCAGCAGCCGCGGUAAUACGGAGGGUGCAAGCGUUACUCGGAAUCACUGGGCGUAAAGGACGCGUAGGCUGUUUAGCAAGUCAGAUGUGAAAUCCAAUGGCUCAACCAUUGAACUGCAUUUGAAACUGCUAGACUAGAGUAUGGGAGGGGGAGAUGGAAUUAGUGGUGUAGGGGUAAAAUCCGUAGAUAUCACUAGGAAUACCUAAAGCGAAGGCGAUCUCCUGGAACAUUACUGACGCUAAGGCGUGAAAGCGUGGGGAGCAAACAGGAUUAGAUACCCCCGUAGUC